GCACAGAGCACGGCGAGCGCACCGCGCGGCGGCCGGCCCGCGCCCUUAACCCUUCGCUGCGCGCCGCCCGGGGAGGCGGGCACCUUUCCCAAAGAGUGGCUCGGGAUGGGGUGCGGGGGAGGGGAGACGCGGACCGGAGGGCAAGGCGCUCGGAGCAGCAUCUGAGAGGGCUCACUCUGAUCAUCAGCUGCACGUUAAGCCACAAACCGGCGUCGCUUCGGCGUUCCGGAACCCAGGCCUGGGGGCCGCGGGGAUUGCCUCUGCGUGCAACUCCGGAAAGUUUCAAGGGGUCCCCCGACUGCACAGGUCCGGAAAUCGGCUUUGAUAUGGAACUACUCCGCUCUAGCCUGGAAAGGAGACCCGCGCACUCCUCUCGCAGCUAAUUUCGGAUCAUUAAUUUAAUCGGAAAUGAGGUAACCAGUGUAGGAGACAGAGAAAGCAACCGGAGCAUCAAAUGGCAGUUCUCGAGAAUCGACGAGGAACUUAAAUCUGGACUCAGGGUUUCAGUGCGGUCUCCGACUCCCACCACCCCGCCCCUCCGCCUGUCUCGCCGCCAGGUGUGACCUCCACGCGAAGGAAUCUUCUUCGGAUGGGUGCACCUUGCCAACAGGUGUGGCACCUGGAGGACUAGGAGGCGCCUCCAGACUAAGGGCGCUCAGUGCGGCGUUCUUGUUGCAGAUGAUUCUGGAAGGCCGGUAGGUGUCGGGCGACAUUUGACCUUCUUCAGGUGCUUAGAACUAAGUGUCUGGAAACAUGAUCCUUUCGCGUAAGUUUCUUUCUGAAAGCCACCAAUCUUGACUGUAAGCUGUAUUUGAGAGAUCUUUUGGCUGAGUUUACUUAUGACCUAACGGUUAGUCACCAACUGAGGCAGGGCACAGGAUGACCAAAAAAAAAGUGUCAGUUUUUACACAACUCUGGCCUGCAAGAGCCUACGUGCUUCAUAAAUAAAAAUAAACAUACGAGCGAGGAAGGUGCAGAGCCCCGGAAAUAUUUUUUUCUCACAUUUUUGAAAUACCAUGCACAUAUAUGUGGCUAUUUAAGUAUAACUACUAGUGUUCACUCUUACUCAUUUCUACAACUUUUUUUUUUCCAUUUAAAAAUCGAUUAUUGUUACGGUUUAAACCUCGGGUUGGUCUAAAGUGACAUUGUUGGUCUCAUUACAGCCUCUAGUGGACAGUUAACAUCAGUUUCCUGAAAAGGCUCUGACUGGUUUUGUUUUCGUUGACAAGCUUUGUCAAGGUGAAGGUUAGUACGUAAGAGCAUAACCGGGUAAAAUGUCCCCUCACCCCUAUCCUCACCCCCGCCCCCAACACCCUGCUUGGCAAAGACGACUUCAGAAAGGAGCAGAAGCUUGUUGGCUUUAUAUAGAAAAGACGUAUGCUUUGUGCUGCAGGUAUUAUUAUUACUGGACUGUGAAUAAACAGAAAGCUUCUGCUAUUCAUUUCAGUUUCAGACAGCUUUCAUAAAAACUAAAUUCAUCUCAAAUAUUUUUAUAACAGAAAAUAUUGGUUGCCAUGUUUUUGGCUUAACUGCGAUGUUUUUAUUCCAACUCAUAAUCUGCAAACUGUCCAAUCCACCUCCACUCUAUUUUUAGACAUCUUACAUUUAGAUAAUUUUCAGUUAAAAAAAAGCUAAUAUUGUAAUUUUACGUUGGCACAAGCAGUUAAUUUACGUGAUUUUAACAACCUUAAAUUAAAACACAUAAUUCAGA
rnacentral:lncRNA from 1 species